AUGAACGCUGGCGGCGUGCCUAAUACAUGCCAGUCGAGCGAACAGACGAGGAGCUUGCUCCUCUGACGUUAGCGGCGGACGGGUGAGUAACACGUGGAUAACCUACCUAUAAGACUGGGAUAACUUCGGGAAACCGGAGCUAAUACCGGAUAAUAUAUUGAACCGCAUGGUUCAAUAGUGAAAGACGGUUUUGCUGUCACUUAUAGAUGGAUCCGCGCCGCAUUAGCUAGUUGGUAAGGUAACGGCUUACCAAGGCAACGAUGCGUAGCCGACCUGAAAGGGUGAUCGGCCACACUGGAACUGAGACACGGUCCAGACUCCUACGGGAGGCAGCAGUAGGGAAUCUUCCGCAAUGGGCGAAAGCCUGACGGAGCAACGCCGCGUGAGUGAUGAAGGUCUUCGGAUCGUAAAACUCUGUUAUUAGGGAAGAACAAAUGUGUAAGUAACUAUGCACGUCUUGACGGUACCUAAUCAGAAAGCCACGGCUAACUACGUG
rnacentral:rRNA from 1 species